GACCCUGGAAAAAUCUGUCUCACCCACAAAGAUGUGGGCUCAGCUCCUUCUAGGAAUGUUGGCCCUAUCACCAGCCAUUGCAGAAGAACUUCCAAACUACCUGGUGACAUUACCAGCCCGGCUAAAUUUCCCCUCCGUUCAGAAGGUUUGUUUGGACCUGAGCCCUGGGUACAGUGAUGUUAAAUUCACGGUUACUCUGGAGACCAAGGACAAGACCCAGAAGUUGCUAGAAUACUCUGGACUGAAGAAGAGGCACUUACAUUGUAUCUCCUUUCUUGUACCACCUCCUGCUGGUGGCACAGAAGAAGUGGCCACAAUCCGGGUGUCGGGAGUUGGAAAUAACAUCAGCUUUGAGGAGAAGAAAAAGGUUCUAAUUCAGAGGCAGGGGAACGGCACCUUUGUACAGACUGACAAACCUCUCUACACCCCAGGGCAGCAAGUGUAUUUCCGCAUUGUCACCAUGGAUAGCAACUUCGUUCCAGUGAAUGACAAGUACUCCAUGGUGGAACUACAGGAUCCAAAUAGCAACAGGAUUGCACAGUGGCUGGAAGUGGUACCUGAGCAAGGCAUUGUAGACCUGUCCUUCCAACUGGCACCAGAGGCAAUGCUGGGCACCUACACUGUGGCAGUGGCUGAGGGCAAGACCUUUGGUACUUUCAGUGUGGAGGAAUAUGUGCUGCCGAAGUUUAAGGUGGAAGUGGUGGAACCCAAGGAGUUAUCAACGGUGCAGGAAUCUUUCUUAGUAAAAAUUUGUUGUAGGUACACCUAUGGAAAGCCCAUGCUAGGGGCAGUGCAGGUAUCUGUGUGUCAGAAGGCAAAUACUUACUGGUAUCGAGAGGUGGAACGGGAACAGCUUCCUGACAAAUGCAGGAACCUCUCUGGACAGACUGACAAAACAGGAUGUUUCUCAGCACCUGUGGACAUGGCCACCUUUGACCUCAUUGGAUAUGCGUACAGCCAUCAAAUCAAUAUUGUGGCUACUGUUGUGGAGGAAGGGACAGGUGUGGAGGCCAAUGCCACUCAGAAUAUCUACAUUUCUCCACAAAUGGGAUCAAUGACCUUUGAAGACACCAGCAAUUUUUACCAUCCAAAUUUCCCCUUCAGUGGGAAGAUAAGAGUUAGGGGCCAUGAUGACUCCUUCCUCAAGAACCAUCUAGUGUUUCUGGUGAUUUAUGGCACAAAUGGAACCUUCAACCAGACCCUGGUUACUGAUAACAAUGGCCUAGCUCCCUUUACCUUGGAGACAUCCGGUUGGAAUGGGACAGACGUUUCUCUGGAGGGAAAGUUUCAAAUGGAAGACUUAGUAUAUAAUCCGGAACAAGUGCCACGUUACUACCAAAAUGCCUACCUGCACCUGCGACCCUUCUACAGCACAACCCGCAGCUUCCUUGGCAUCCACCGGCUAAACGGCCCCUUGAAAUGUGGCCAGCCCCAGGAAGUGCUGGUGGAUUAUUACAUCGACCCGGCCGAUGCAAGCCCUGACCAAGAGAUCAGCUUCUCCUACUAUUUAAUAGGGAAAGGAAGUUUGGUGAUGGAGGGGCAGAAACACCUGAACUCUAAGAAGAAAGGACUGAAAGCCUCCUUCUCUCUCUCACUGACCUUCACUUCGAGACUGGCCCCUGAUCCUUCCCUGGUGAUCUAUGCCAUUUUUCCCAGUGGAGGUGUUGUAGCUGACAAAAUUCAGUUCUCAGUCGAGAUGUGCUUUGACAAUCAGGCUGACCUGAUCCCCAAGUUAUACCUUUCCCUUCCCCAGGUUUCCCUUGGCUUCUCCCCCUCCCAGCAGCUUCCAGGAGCAGAAGUGGAGCUGCAGCUGCAGGCAGCUCCCGGAUCCCUGUGUGCGCUCCGGGCGGUGGAUGAGAGUGUCUUACUGCUUAGGCCAGACAGAGAGCUGAGCAACCGCUCUGUCUAUGGGAUGUUUCCAUUCUGGUAUGGUCACUACCCCUAUCAAGUGGCUGAGUAUGAUCAGUGUCCAGUGUCUGGCCCAUGGGACUUUCCUCAGCCCCUCAUUGACCCAAUGCCCCAAGGGCAUUCGAGCCAGCGUUCCAUUAUCUGGAGGCCCUCGUUCUCUGAAGGCACGGACCUUUUCAGCUUUUUCCGGGACGUGGGCCUGAAAAUACUGUCCAAUGCCAAAAUCAAGAAGCCAGUAGAUUGCAGUCACAGAUCUCCAGAAUACAGCACUGCUAUGGGUGCAGGCGGUGGUCAUCCAGAGGCUUUUGAGUCAUCAACUCCUUUACAUCAAGCAGAGGAUUCUCAGGUCCGCCAGUACUUCCCAGAGACCUGGCUCUGGGAUCUGUUUCCUAUUGGUAACUCGGGGAAGGAGGCGGUCCACGUCACAGUUCCUGACGCCAUCACCGAGUGGAAGGCGAUGAGUUUCUGCACUUCCCAGUCAAGAGGCUUCGGGCUUUCACCCACUGUUGGACUAACUGCUUUCAAGCCGUUCUUUGUUGACCUGACUCUCCCUUACUCAGUAGUCCGUGGGGAAUCCUUUCGUCUUACUGCCACCAUCUUCAAUUACCUAAAGGAUUGCAUCAGGGUUCAGACUGACCUGGCUAAAUCGCAUGAGUACCAGCUAGAAUCAUGGGCAGAUUCUCAGACCUCCAGUUGUCUCUGUGCUGAUGACGCAAAAACCCACCACUGGAACAUCACAGCUGUCAAAUUGGGUCACAUUAACUUUACUAUUAGUACAAAGAUUCUGGACAGCAAUGAACCAUGUGGGGGCCAGAAGGGGUUUGUUCCCCAAAAGGGCCGAAGUGACACGCUCAUCAAGCCAGUUCUCGUCAAACCUGAGGGAGUCCUGGUGGAGAAGACACACAGCUCAUUGCUGUGCCCAAAAGGAAAGGUGGCAUCUGAAUCUGUCUCCCUGGAGCUCCCAGUGGACAUUGUUCCUGACUCGACCAAGGCUUAUGUUACGGUUCUGGGAGACAUUAUGGGCACAGCCCUGCAGAACCUGGAUGGUCUGGUGCAGAUGCCCAGUGGCUGUGGCGAGCAGAACAUGGUCUUGUUUGCUCCCAUCAUCUAUGUCUUGCAGUACCUGGAGAAGGCAGGGCUGCUGACGGAGGAGAUCAGGUCUCGGGCAGUGGGUUUCCUGGAAAUAGGGUACCAGAAGGAGCUGAUGUACAAACACAGCAAUGGCUCAUACAGUGCCUUUGGGGAGCGAGAUGGAAAUGGAAACACAUGGCUGACAGCGUUUGUCACAAAAUGCUUUGGCCAAGCUCAGAAAUUCAUCUUCAUUGAUCCCAAGAACAUCCAGGAUGCUCUCAAGUGGAUGGCAGGAAACCAGCUCCCCAGUGGCUGCUAUGCCAACGUGGGAAAUCUCCUUCACACAGCUAUGAAGGGUGGUGUUGAUGAUGAGGUCUCCUUGACUGCGUAUGUCACAGCUGCAUUGCUGGAGAUGGGAAAGGAUGUAGAUGACCCAAUGGUGAGUCAGGGUCUACGGUGUCUCAAGAAUUCGGCCACCUCCACGACCAACCUCUACACACAGGCCCUGUUGGCUUACAUUUUCUCCCUGGCUGGGGAAAUGGACAUCAGAAACAUUCUCCUUAAACAGUUAGAUCAACAGGCUAUCAUCUCAGGAGAAUCCAUUUACUGGAGCCAGAAACCUACUCCAUCAUCGAACGCCAGCCCUUGGUCUGAGCCUGCGGCUGUAGAUGUGGAACUCACAGCAUAUGCAUUGUUGGCCCAGCUUACCAAGCCCAGCCUGACUCAAAAGGAGAUAGCGAAGGCCACUAGCAUAGUGGCUUGGUUGGCCAAGCAACACAAUGCAUAUGGGGGCUUCUCUUCUACUCAGGAUACUGUAGUUGCUCUCCAAGCUCUUGCCAAAUAUGCCACUACCGCCUACAUGCCAUCUGAGGAGAUCAACCUGGUUGUAAAAUCCACUGAGAAUUUCCAGCGCACAUUCAACAUACAGUCAGUUAACAGAUUGGUAUUUCAGCAGGAUACCCUGCCCAAUGUCCCUGGAAUGUACACGUUGGAGGCCUCAGGCCAGGGCUGUGUCUAUGUGCAGACGGUGUUGAGAUACAAUAUUCUCCCUCCCACAAAUAUGAAGACCUUUAGUCUUAGUGUGGAAAUAGGAAAAGCUAGAUGUGAGCAACCGACUUCACCUCGAUCCUUGACUCUCACUAUUCACACCAGUUAUGUGGGGAGCCGUAGCUCUUCCAAUAUGGCUAUUGUGGAAGUGAAGAUGCUAUCUGGGUUCAGUCCCAUGGAGGGCACCAAUCAGUUACUUCUCCAGCAACCCCUGGUGAAGAAGGUUGAAUUUGGAACUGACACACUUAACAUUUACUUGGAUGAGCUCAUUAAGAACACUCAGACUUACACCUUCACCAUCAGCCAAAGUGUGCUGGUCACCAACUUGAAACCAGCAACCAUCAAGGUCUAUGACUACUACCUACCAGAUGAACAGGCAACAAUUCAGUAUUCUGAUCCCUGUGAAUGAGAAAGAUCAUUCUAGCAGUAAUGUGAAGAAUGGGGUGGAGAAGAAGAAAGCCGAAGUCCUUGAAACCAUUUAGGAGACUGCUACAGUUAUCCAGGUUCUUUUAAAUUAUCUCAGUACACAAUUGUGUGGUCCAUGAACAAUGACAGCAUAGUGGACUCUGUGGCACGGCACCCAGAACCACCCCCUUUCAAGACAGAAGCAUUUAUUCCUUCACUUCCUGGGAGUGUUAACAACUGAUAGCUACCAGUUGUGCCCGCUCUGGACUUUUGCCCAUAGUGGCCUAUCCUCUGUGAUUAUGCAUUUGUAACUGUGUUCUUCCUCUUCUGAAGACAUCAGUCACAUUGGAUUAGCCACCCUUAUGGCUGCAUUUCACCUUGAUUACCACUUUAAAGGCCCUGUCUCCAAAUACAGUCACAUUGGGGGUUAUGGCUCCAACAUACUCAUUUGGAAGCCAGGUGUGGUGGCUCAUGCCUGUAAUCCCAGCACUUUCGGAGGCCAAGGCAGGAGGAUUGCUUGAGCCCAGGAGCUAGAGAUCAGCCUGGGCAACACAGGGAGACUCAUCUCUACAAAAAAAUAUAAAUAAAUAAACAAAAAAAUUUAACUGGGUGUGGUGGUGCAUACCUGUAGUCUCAGAAACUUGGGGGCUGAAGUGGGAGGAUCACUUAAGCCCAGGAGGUCGAGCCAAGAUCACGCCACUGCAGCACUCAAGCCUGGGCAACAGAGCAAGACCCUGUCUCAAACAAAACAAAACGAAACAAAAAAAACAAAAAAACCCAUAUAAAUUUUGGGGAACACAUUUCAGUUCAUAAUAAAGUGGAAAAAUUAAAAGAAAUUAAAUUUACAGUUUAAAGUUAUGCUAGAAUAGACAUGAAGUAGCCCCCCUGAAAUAAGAGUUAAGAAAGAAUAUUAACUGCUCCUCUGUAAGGUCUGUGAAGCAUUAACCAUAUCUCUCCCCCACAUAUUUUGUAAGUUCUGUAAGCUCCUGUUUUUCUUGCUGUGCAGCUGCAAAGUCACAAGAUAGAUAAGCAUGAGUCGCAAGACAUGUUU